CACACUCAGUUAUUAUAAUCAAUUUCCGAAAUGUAAGCCAAUUUGUGUCAGUUUGGCGCUAUCUGGCAGAGAAUUGUCUGUGACAGAGCGAUAGUGUGAAAUACAGGAAGCAGACACACAACUGUUGUGUGAUGAUUUGUAUGAAGGAAGGUGGGAGAUUCCUGUUUGUUUAUUCAUUUACCGAGUCUAAGGGGAAUUUCAUCCUGCUGUUUCAGAAUGCAGGCAAAGGUCACGCUCUUCACUUUCAGCAAACAAUGGCCAUUUCUUUAUUUGACUCCUGGGAGAAUACCGCAUGAAGCACGUUGAAAUGAUAGCAUUGGGAGGAAAUCUUUCUUUGACAGGCAAGACUUAAUACUGUGCAUUGCAGAGUAAAAUCUUCCACAACAACUCAGAAAUGUGAAAAAGGGACACCAUGAAAGUGAUCCAGACCUGUCAGUCUACAGUCUUACCUGGACUCUCCUUGAUUUAUGAGCAUGUACAUUUCCCAAGACGUGUCCUCUGCGGUCGCACCGUGAGGCACCAGCAAACUCACUCCUACAAAAACAACAUCGAGGACAUCAGCACUGAAGAUAACAUGCACAAAAACAGCUAUGCCUUUUACCUUUCAAUAUAUGAAAAGCUCAGAUGCAAAACCCUCUAAGUGCAUCUGACAUAAACAAGCUUUUUUUUAAAGUAUUUUAUGAACAUUAAAUGCGCAUCUGGCCUCUUGCAGUCUAUUUAAUUAUACAUUACAGGAGAAAUUAAUGUCAUUAUAUGCAUUUGUUAAUGCAUAAAAUGAUUAAAGUGUCAUUUCAUGUCUUUUUACUAUAUGUAUGUAUUGAAAGUGCCAAUGUAUUAUAUAAAAAAAUCAAGAUGAUUAUGUAAAUAACACUCUCAGCAAUUACACAUGAAUGAAUUAAAAAGUGUUGGAUGAU